ncrna:unclassified sequences GA-cis RNA
GUGAGGAGGCACCCAUGCAUAGAAGAUGCAUAUUGUAAUGGUGCCGACGACCUGCCGCCGAACGAAGGUGAGGGGGGCGAUACAUCAU